GUGAAUCAUCGAAUCUUUGAACGCAAAUUGCACUCUCUGGUAUUCCGGAGCGUGUGUCUGUUUGAGGGUCAGUUAAAAUAAAAAUCGGUGUGGUUGCUGCGUUUCGUGCUGACGCACUGGAUUUGUGUUGUAUUGUCUUCGGUUAAGUGACCUAAAAUUUUGCUUGAUUUUUUCGAACGUAUUUUAAUGAUUUUAUGUACGUUUGUGAUAUCGAAUACUAUGUGUGGUCAUCUUCAUGAUUCGCGUCUUUA
rnacentral:misc_RNA from 1 species